GAUAAGAUAAGCUAAAAAAGCUUUUGGACUCAUAAUCCAACUAUGGUUCUAACCUUUUAUUU
rnacentral:tRNA from 1 species